rnacentral:tmRNA from 1 species
CCUCUUCAACUCCCCGCGCGGCUUGCUUAUAUUCGUUCUGUUCCCUCGGGAACUAUGGACAUAAACGCGCUCGUAAUAAACGGCUCGGACCCGGGGGCGGUACCCGGCGUCUCCACCAAAUCACCUUCGGUGUGUUCCUUCGUUUGGGGAAUGGAUCGAGUUUGUGGGGACGAAAUAGGAUCGACGGACGUCUAAAGGGGUUAGCUUUGUCUCGGCUGUCUGCCACCGUUAUCGGCGAAACUAGUACAAUUGCAAACGACAAUCGUGCUCCGGUUGCUCUGGCUGCGUAAGCAGUUCGAGUCGAACCGACUUUAAGCCCUGUCGCCUAGCCGCGGCAGGCGGGGUUCGCAGGUACCUGGCAACAGAAACCUGCACU